rnacentral:rRNA from 1 species
GAUGAACGCUAGCGGCGGGCUUAAUACAUGCAAGUCGAGGGGUAGCAAUACACCGGCGCACGGGUGCGUAACGCGUAUGCAACCUACCUUUAUCUGGGGGAUAGCCCGGGGAAACCCGGAUUAAUACCGCAUAACAAAUUGAUUGGCAUCAAUUGAUUUUAAAAGAUUUAUCGGAUAGAGAUGGGCAUGCGUAAGAUUAGAUAGUUGGCGAGGUAACGGCUCACCAAGUCUACGAUCUUUAGGGGCUCUGAGAGGAGAAUCCCCCACACUGGCACCGAGAUACGGGCCAGACUCCUACGGGAGGCAGCAGUAGGGAAUAUUGGGCAAUGGGCGCAAGCCUGACCCAGCCACGCCGCGUGCAGGAAGACGGCCCUCUGGGUUGUAAACUCUUUUGACUGGGAAGAAAAGACUCCUUGCGAGGAGAGUUGACGGUACCAGCAGAAUAAGCCACGGCUAACUACGUGCCAGCCGCCGCGGUAAAAC